rnacentral:rRNA from 1 species
AUCAAUAGACCUUAGUCCCCUUCGACAGGGCUUUACACACCAAGAUGCUUCUUCACCCACGCGGCGUUGCUGCGUCAGGGUUUCCCCCAUUGCGCAAAAUUCCCCA